GGAUGGUUUGUAGAUGUACAAAUAUAGACAACGUGCUACUGAUAAAUGAUGGAAGAGGGACUACGUUUUCCAAGUAGAUGGCAGGAAAUGCCUGUGUGGAACAGAUGGAAAAGAUAAGCUAUAAAGGGGAAUGGCAUUACUAUGACUAAGAAGGAGUUGAAUGUGGAUGCAGCAAGGAUACUAGAGGAUCAGAGGAACAUGUAUGAGAUUCAGAUGUGUAAGGAUCAUUAGAAUACGAUGAUUUAUUACAACACAAGAGCCAGUCUGCGGAAAAAACUCCACUCUCUGAAUGAGGCUUCUCUGAGCGGAAAGACUCACCAUUCAGCUCCUGGCCGGUGGCCAGGCGACUUGGCUUGAGGAUGAACUGGCACUGAAGCUCGCGGGGCAGCUGUUCCAUCAGGAAGGCCCCCUGAAGGUCCAGAGGGCAAACACUGUCCUUUGAUCCCUGCAUCUGCGGCAAAGUGUCACGAAUGUGGCUCAUUUUGAUUCCAAACGGAUACUCAUGUCCUGCUCAGAGAAAGAGGAAGACAGUUUGAUUUAUAAAAAGUAGAGGCUA